UACGAAGGGGGCUAGCGUUGCUCGGAAUCACUGGGCGUAAAGCGCACGUAGGCGGAUUGCUAAGUCAGGGGUGAAAUCCUGGAGCUCAACUCCAGAACUGCCUUUGAUACUGGCGAUCUUGAGUCCGGGAGAGGUGAGUGGAACUGCGAGUGUAGAGGUGAAAUUCGUAGAUAUUCGCAAGAACACCAGUGGCGAAGGCGGCUCACUGGCCCGGUACUGACGCUGAGGCACGAAAGCGUGGGGAUCAAACAGG
rnacentral:rRNA from 1 species